AGAAUAUUAGUCAAUGCUCGCAAGAGUGAACUAGCUAACUGAAAUCAUGAGUGUGUCACUCGUGAUAAGGUAAGGGAAAAACAAUGAUGUCACCUUACUAUAAGUGUCGUCCAAAUUCUGGUGCCAGAAGACUCGGUAAGGCCAGAGACGCGAACGUAAGUGGUCCUAAACAGGCGUAAAGGGUUUGUAGGCAGCUUUAAUGAACUUAUUUUUAAAAUUACUCUGAGAAAAAUUUAAGCCAAAUUGAAGCUAGAAUCUUGAAGAGGAAGAAGUCCAUAGAAUAGAAUGUGUAGGAAUGAAAUCCAUAAAUACUUUCUAGAAUGCUAACGGCGAAGGCAUUCUUCCAAUAAUGAUUGACGCUGAGAAACUAAGGGGAGGAUAGGAAACAGGAUUAGAGACCCUGGUACCCCUCUCUGUCAACGAUGAAUGGUGGUUACUAGAUAGUAUAUCUAGAGACGAUGCUAACGCGAAAACCAUUCCGCCUUGUGAGUACGACUGCAAAGUUGAAAACAAAAAAAUUAGUCGGUUUCGGAGCAAACGAAGUGAAGCAUGUUAUUUAAUUC
rnacentral:rRNA from 1 species